rnacentral:rRNA from 1 species
ACAGCAGCAGCCGCGGUAAUACGAAGGGGGCUAGCGUUGCUCGGAAUUACUGGGCGUAAAGGGAGCGUAGGCGGACAUUUAAGUCAGGGGUGAAAUCCCAGAGCUCAACUCUGGAACUGCCUUUGAUACUGGGUGUCUUGAGUGUGAUAGAGGUAUGUGGAACUCCGAGUGUAGAGGUGAAAUUCGUAGAUAUUCGGAAGGACACCAGUGGCGAAGGCGACAUACUGGAUCAUUACUGACGCUGAGGCUCGAAAGCGUGGGGAGCAAACAGGAUUAGAGACCCCCGUAGUCCCUGUCUCUUAUAC